rnacentral:rRNA from 1 species
AUGCUGCGGCGGCACAAGGGAAGGGAAUCGGCGUCGUCGUCGGAUUCCACCUUCUACCAGCUGCGCCCCGACUGCGCCCACAACGUCCCCGACACCAAGUUCAAGAUCAAGAUUGGCAAGACGCUGAGCGUACGCAAAUGGCACGCCGCCUUCACGCACCACGGAUCCCUCCACAUCGCCUCUGUUCUAAACCGGAUUCAGAGCGGGGGUGUGCACCCUGCAAUCAGGGGAGAGGUCUGGGAGUUCCUGCUCGGCUGCUUCGAUCCCGACAGCACAUUCGAUGACCGCGACCACAUCAGGCAAGCAAGAAGGAUACAGUAUGCUAGAUGGAAGGAACAAUGCAAACACAUGGAUCCUCACGUCGGCAGCGGCAAAAUCAUCACCGCCCCCAUCAUAACCGAGGAUGGCGUGCCUAUCAAGGACCCUUUGGUUUUACUUGAAGCCGCCACUCCAGACCAGCAAGCUAGUUUGAUCAGCACCAAGAAUGGAGAUGAGGCCGACCACCGCCUCACGGAUAAACAGACUAUCGAAUGGAAGCUUACGCUGCACCAAAUCGGUCUUGAUGUUCUUCGCACUGACCGCUCCAUGGUCUUCUACGAGAAGAAAGAAAAUCUCUCCAAGUUAUGGGAUAUUCUAGCUGUCUAUGCGUGGAUCGACAAAGAAGUUGGGUAUUGCCAAGGAAUGAGUGAUUUAUGCUCACCGAUGAUAGUGCUACUCAAUGAUGAAGCAGACGCGUUUUGGUGCUUUGAGAGACUCAUGCGUAGACUGCGCGGGAAUUUCAGAUGCACACAGCAAUCCGUUGGGGUUGAGAACCAGCUUCAGCACCUUGCCUCUAUCAUUCAGGUGCUGGACCCAAAGUUACAUGACCACCUCGAAACACUUGGCGGAGGCGACUAUCUCUUUGCAUUCCGCAUGUUCAUGGUAUUGUUUCGCCGUGAACUGUCAUUUGGGGACUCCUUGUACCUUUGGGAGAUGAUGUGGGCUCUAGAAUAUGACCCUGACAUGUUCUCCACAUAUGAAGAGAGCGGGCCUGCAACUGACAGAAGUGCUCAAGGAUAUAAACCAAGAGUAAAAUCAACCCGUCAGUUUGGCAAGUACGAGAGGGCGAAUAUGAAGAGUGCUACUAACGGUGUUGAUGGGCCUGUCCCUAUUUCUGUUUUCCUGGUUGCUAGUGUAUUGAAAGAGAACAGUCAGAAGCUGUUGCAAGAAGCCCGGGGAUUAGAUGACAUCAUUAGGAUAUUGAACAAUGUGAAUGGGAACUUGGAUGCAAAGAAGGCUUGCGCUGGUGCACUGAAACUUCACGCCAAGUACCUUAGAAAGAUGCAGGGAAAGAAAGCCUAA